UAAUGAAAGAGGGAUUUGAACCCUCGAAAUUUAGAUUAUGAUUCUAAUAUUUUAACCUACUAAAUUAUUUCAUU
rnacentral:tRNA from 1 species